GUCUGUAUUGAACCUACAUAUAAACAUCAGUAUGGUUUAAAAUCCUCUUGAGAUGAUCAUGUGUGAGAUCUGGAUCGGAUUAGACACACACACCUGUGAUCAAAGUCUUCAUUCAGAGGGUCACCUGCUGUCCUCCGGGAGUACAAACUCAUCUUCUGCUGGUAUCCAGGGACCUCAUCAGGACCUGCUGCCAUGCUUUAGGUUUUGGAACAGAGCCGUGUGCGUCAGUAAUUGUCGACUCCCUCAGCAGUGAUCAGAAACUCAGAAGGGGGCCGAGCAUCGCCUGUCUGGAUGUCAAAGUGAAUCUGAUCUCAAGAGCGUCUGAAUGAAUCACAUCAGGAAACUACAGAGACGUCUGUGAAAGUGAAGAAACGCGAGCUGCAGUUCACACAAACUCUAUGACUCGCUUCACAUCACACAGUGUUCAUAAACAAUAAUGAUUUAAAUCAACAGCACAUAUAACUUCUGUAUUAUGAUGACGUUUCUACAUGAAACAGAAAACGUGACCUGCAUGCUUUAAUUCAUCAGACCGUAGCUGGAUGGUGAAAUGAAGCUGUUAGACAAAUGCUGGAAAUAAAACAGGACUGUGAAAAAGACAUUAAAAGUUUAUCUUUGGAUUUUGAUGCAAUGAUAAAUCAUCAAAAAAGUACAGUGAGGAUAGAAAUGAAUAAUGCAGAAUGUUGUCGGACAAUGCUCGUGAUGUUCACAUGAGUCUGAUAUCAUUUCUGUUAGUUUUGUUUUAAUGGACAUAGAUGUCUAUCAGUGACAGUCAUUUACAUUUAGACAGAACUGUGCAAGUCUGUUUAAACCCAAAUUAAGUGCCAUUAAAAGUUUUUAUAUUUCAACUCAAUGAUAUUUCA